GAAUAUCAGCAAGAUUGAUCUGG
rnacentral:miRNA from 1 species